CCUACGGGGGGCAGCAGUGAGGAAUAUUGGUCAAUGGGCGCGAGCCUGAACCAGCCAAGUAGCGUGAAGGAUGACUGCCCUACGGGUUGUAAACUUCUUUUAUAAAGGAAUAAAGUGCGGCACGUGUGCCUUUUUGUAUGUACUUUAUGAAUAAGGAUCGGCUAACUCCGUGCCAGCAGCCGCGGUAAUACGGAGGAUCCGAGCGUUGUCCGGAUUUAUUGGGUUUAAAGGGGGCGUAGAUGGGUUGUUAAGUCAGUUGUGAAAGUUUGCGGCUCAACCGUAAAAUUGCAAUUGAUACUGGCAGGCUUGAGUACAGUUGAGGUAGGCGGAAUUCGUGGUGUAGCGGUGAAAUGCUUAGAUAUCACGAAGAACUCCGAUUGCGAAAGCAGCUUACUAAACUGCCACUGACAUUGAUGAUCGAAAGUGUGGGUAUCAAACAGGAUUAGAUACCCUUGUAGUC
rnacentral:rRNA from 1 species